AGAGUUUGAUCAUGGCUCAGGAUGAACGUUGGCGGUGUGCCUAAUACAUGCAAGUCGAACGGAGUUAAUAGCAAUAUUGACUUAGUGGCGAACGGGUGAGUAACGCGUUGGUGAUCUGCCUCGAAGUGUGGAAUAACGUUCCGAAAGGAUCGCUAAUACCGCAUGUGCUCUCGAUUUUUAGAAAGUUGAGAGUAAAGGAUUUAUUCGCUUCGAGAGGAGCCUGCGUCCCAUCAGCUGGUUGGUAGGGUAACGGCCUACCAAGGCUAUGACGGGUAGGGGACCUGAGAGGGUGGCCCCCCACAAUGGAACUGAAACACGGUCCAUACACCUACGGGUGGCAGCAGUAGGGAAUAUUAGAAAUGGACGAAAGUCUGAUCUAGCAACACCGCGUGUGCGAAGAAGGCCUUCGGGUCGUAAAGCACUUUUUGGAAGGAAUAGGAAGGAAUGUACUUCCAGAAUAAGUCUCGGCUAACUACGUGCCAGCAGCCGCGGUAACACGUAGGAGGCAAACGUUAUCCGGAUUUACUGGGCGUAAAGCGCGUGUAGGUGGUACUGUAAGUAGGGCGUGAAAGCUCCUGGCUCAACUAGGAGAGGCCGUUCUAAACUACAGAACUAGAGGAUGGUAGAGGGAGGUGGAAUUCCAGGUGUAGCGGUGGAAUGCGCAGAUAUCUGGAGGAACACCGGUGGCGAAGGCGGCCUCCUGGACCAUUCCUGACACUCAGACGCGAAAGCUAGGGUAGCAAACGGGAUUAGAGACCCCGGUAGUCCUAGCCCUAAACGAUGUAGACUAGGCGUCGGAAGUUUAAUCACUUUCGGUGUCCAAGCUAACGCGAUAAGUCUACCGCCUGGGGACUACGGCCGCAAGGUUAAAACUCAAAUGAAUUGACGG
rnacentral:rRNA from 1 species